rnacentral:rRNA from 1 species
GUUUUUUUCAUUAUUGGGUUUAUUUGUUGUUGUUUUUUAGUGGAAUAAUAUUUUUUUUUAUUAGUUUUGUUUGAAAAAGUUUAUUUAGUUAUAGUGUAUUUUACUGUGAAGGGUUUUAUUAAAACAAUUAAAAGAAGGUUUUUUUUACUGUACCUUGUGUAUCAGGGUUUAUUUAUUUAGUUUUAAAUAUUUGGGUUUCCCGAAUUUAUAAGAGUUACGUUAAUGUUGAUUUUACUGUGGAAUAAGUAUUUAAAAUUUUGACGUGGAAGUGAAAUGUUAUUCGCUUAUUAAUAUAUCUGGUUUCUUAAGAGUUAAAUUUAAUUUAGGAGUCUUUUGCUGUGAUUAUAAGUUUUUAUUUUUUCGGCUUUGAUAUCUAAUGUUUGGGGGGAUAAGCUUCUGGACAGUUUUAAAUAAGAUUUUGGUUUUCUGGAUUUAUAUAGGAUUAGAAUUUUCUAUUAUUUUUAGUAUGUUAUUAUUAUUGUCUGGUUUGUUUGAUUUUUUUUUCUUUUUGUUUUUAUUAGGAUUAUUUCUUUAUUUUUAAAUGUUUUGUGAUUAUGAUAGAAUUAGUAUAUUUUUUUGUUUGUUAUUUUUUGUCUGUUGAGAUUGGAUUAAGGAAUUCGGCAAUAUUUAUUCUCACCUGUUUAAUAAAAACAUGUCUUUUUGAUUUUGAUUUAAGGUCGGGCCUGCCCAAUGAUUUUUAAAUGGCCGCAGUAUUUUGACUGUGCAAAGGUAGCAUAAUCAUUAGUUUCUUAAUUGGGAGCUGGAAUGAAAGGUUUGAUGAGGAAUGAACUGUCUCUAUUCUAUUUUAUAGAACUUUAUUUUUUAGUGAAAAAGCUUAAAUUUGGUAGAAAGACGAGAAGACCCUAUAGAGUUUUAUGGGAUAUGAACUUGGUUGUUUAAUGAUUUAUUUUUGUUGAGUUUAUUUACUAUUUUGUUGGGGUGACAUAAAAAUUUAUAAAACUUUUUAUUAUUUUGACGUUGAUUGACGGUUAGUUGAUCCUGUUUUUUGGAUUAUGAGAUUAAAUUACCUUAGGGAUAACAGCGUAAUUUUUUCUGAAAGUUCUUAUUGAUGAAGAAGUUUGCGACCUCGAUGUUGGAUUAAAUUUUACUGUGGGUGUAGUAGCUUGACAGUUGGGUCUGUUCGACCUUUAAAAUUUUACAUGAUCUGAGUUUAGACCGGCGUGAGCCAGGUUGGUUUCUAUCUUUUAUUUAUUGAUCUAUUUUAGUACGAAAGGACCAAGUAGGUAAAUUAUAUUUUUUUUUUGAAUGUUAU